rnacentral:rRNA from 1 species
UACGUAGGGGGCGAGCGUUGUCCGGAUUCAUUGGGCGUAAAGAGCGUGUAGGCGGUUAGGUAGGUCCGAUGUGAAAACUGGAGGCUCAACCUCCAGCUGUCAUUGGAAACCAUCUGGCUAGAGUCCGGAAGAGGAGAGUGGAAUUCCUGGUGUAGCGGUGAAAUGCGCAGAUAUCAGGAAGAACACCUAUGGCGAAGGCAGCUCUCUGGGACGGUACUGACGCUGAGACGCGAAAGCGUGGGGAGCGAACAGG